rnacentral:hammerhead_ribozyme from 1 species
AUCCGGUUGAUGAGUCCCAGAUAGGAUGAAACGUGCGUAGUGGAU